GACGAACGCUGGCGGCGGGCUUAACACAUGCAAGUCGAACGGAAAGGCCCUGCUUUUGUGGGGUGCUCGAGUGGCGAACGGGUGCGUAACACGUGAGUAACCUGCCCUUGACUUUGGGAUAACUUCAGGAAACUGGGGCUAAUACCGUAUAGCAGCUCCUGCUGCAGGGUGGGGGUUGGAAAGUUUCGGCGGGCGGGGAUGGACUCGCGGCUUACGAGCUUGUUGGUGGGGGAGUGGCUUACCAAGGAUGUGACGGGUAGCCGGCCGGGGAGGGUGACCGGCCACAUUGGGACUGAGAUACGGCCCAGACUCCUACGGUAGGCAGCAGUGGGGAAUCUUGCACAAUGGGCGGAAGCCUGAUGCAGCAACGCCGCGUGCGUGAUGACGGCCUUCGGGUUGUAAACCGCUUUCGCCUGUGACGAAGCGUGAGUGACGGUAAUGGGUAAAGAAGCACCGGCUAACUACGUG
rnacentral:rRNA from 1 species